rnacentral:rRNA from 1 species
UACGUAGGGUGCGGGCGUUAAUCGGAAUUACUGGGCGUAAAGUGUGCGCAGGCGGCAGAGCAAGUCGAGUGUGAAAGCCCCGGGCUUAACUUGGGAAUUGCGCUCGAAACUACUUUGCUGGAGUGUGGCAGAGGAAGGUGGAAUUCCACGUGUAGCGGUGAAAUGCGUAGAGAUGCCAUAGAACACCAAUUGCGAAGGCAGCUGGCUAGACCUGUAUUGACGCUGAGGCACGAAAGCGUGGGGAGCGAACAGG